rnacentral:lncRNA from 1 species
UCGUCGUUACAGUGAAGGGCUGUCAACAUUUGAAACAAUAACAAACAGUCAACAGCAAAUGGAAUGUAAAUGUCUUCUGAGGAUGCAGAAGAUCUUUUACAUGAUUCAGUUAUUGAAUUAUUUGACUUAUCUGAUUAUUCUUCAACUUUGCCAAACGAUGCUAAGAAAGAUAUGUUGCUAAGCUUAAUGAAGUACAGUGUGACUGUCCUUACGUCAUAGAAAAUGAGUAUUGGACUUCCAGUACACAAGAGCUAGAAACAAUA